AUUGAACGCUGGCGGCAUGCUUUACGCAUGCAAGUCGAACGGUAACAGGUUAAGCUGACGAGUGGCGAACGGGUGAGUAAUGCAUCGGAACGUGCCCGAUCGUGGGGGAUAACGCAGCGAAAGCUGCGCUAAUACCGCAUACGAUCUGAGGAUGAAAGCGGGGGACCGUAAGGCCUCGCGCGAUCGGAGCGGCCGAUGUCAGAUUAGGUAGUUGGUGGGGUAAAGGCUCACCAAGCCGACGAUCUGUAGCUGGUCUGAGAGGACGACCAGCCACACUGGGACUGAGACACGGCCCAGACUCCUACGGGAGGCAGCAGUGGGGAAUUUUGGACAAUGGGCGAAAGCCUGAUCCAGCAAUGCCGCGUGCAGGAAGAAGGCCUUCGGGUUGUAAACUGCUUUUGUACGGAGCGAAAAGGCUCUCUCUAAUACAGGGGGCUCAUGACGGUACCGUAAGAAUAAGCACCGGCUAACUACGUGCCAGCAGCCGCCGUAACAC
rnacentral:rRNA from 1 species